UAUUGGAAGUUAAUUGAUUUUUAGAUUUUGGGAACAAAUGGCAGAAAUGCGCAGGAUUAUUUAACAUUGUAUGGAUAUAUAAGGACUUCCGCUAAGGUUCAUUAGCGUGGUAGAAGUAUGUUAUGACGUCACAUCGAUUGUUACCAUCGAACCAAUGAGGUAACUCUGUACUAAAGAAGACUGUACAGAGCCUGACAAAGACAACUUAUAUAAACAGGGACAGCUACAGCCGUGGAUCAAAUCACACACACUAAAGAAUGAAAAACUCGGUGAGUUGGCUAUGUGUCGGGGUGUGGUGUAUGACGAUGAUGGUGAGUGAUGCGCAAGCGCGGCCUAAUCUCGCGCUGUCAUGUGACCACCGUGAGGUGCGCGAGUCGUGCCUAUACGGCUGUCUUGGUUGUCUGGAGGUAUUUGGAGUACAGCUGUAUGACAUGGCUGCCUGUUGCCAUGAUUGUAAAGUUACCAGGGCGGUACUUGUCGAUGACGGUCCUGUCAGAUGUUCAGACAAAUACAUACACGACUCCUGGAUCAAACGUUUCGGGAAAAGGAGAAGUAGGGUCCGGAGUUACCGCACGGGCCCGCUUCCAUGGUAACAGAUACAACCCACUUGAAGAAAAGUGUAUGAAUCGGCGCUAGAGGGGAUCAACAGCUGAUUUGCAUGGUAUGGUUGUACAACAAGACGUGGACAUCCAAAACAAACCUGUUAACUGCUGGGAAGUGAAAAUGUGUCCCAUAGGAUUCCCGGAACAUUUUGGUGUGUACAAUGGGACUGAUAUCGGUGUUAGGAGACAACAUUUGUUCCCCAUAUUGUGAGCAGAAUUAUUUGAACUUUUCAGUUUUUAGAGAGCUGCACCGUCCAGAACUGAUUUAUAACUGUCAAAAGAUAGUUCGCAAGGGUAAACUUAUUUGUAUAUAACUUAUUGAUUUUAUUCUACGUCGUUUUUUAGCUGUAACGUCCAAUAAAAUAUAUUUUAUCGAUUAUUAA